AUGGCUAACUCGUCUCCGUCCUCCGUGGCCGGUGGGACAACGUCCCACACUGCGUCGACCAUCAUCGCCGAGGGCGUAUCCGGGUCGCACGACCUAAACAUCAAGGGCUACUCUCGCACCAAGGGGCUGGGCAUCGGCGAAUGCAUCACAUCCGAGAAGUUCGACGUCGGGGGCCAUCACUGGUGUAUCAAAUACUACCCUGACGGUGAGGCCAAAGACGACACCGACUCGGUAGCACUGCACCUAUGGCGUGAUGACACUGACGGCAAUGAUGUCACGGCAAUAUUCACCUUCAGUUUGCUCAACGGGGAGGGGCAACCGGUGUCACUGCACAGCCAUUCAAGUGGGCGUCGUACGUUCAGGCCCAAACAAGGAUGGGGAUUCGCUACGUUCAUCGAGAGGAAAGACUUGGAGGACUCCCCUCAUCUCAAAGAUGACUGUUUCAGCAUCAGGUGCGAUCUCACUCUCACUAAGGAAAUCUGCACCGCACGCGCUGCCCCGUUUGUAGUUGUGCCGCCGUCGAACAUGCAUCGGCAACUACUCUACCUCUUGACAAGCAGGCAUGCAGGUGACGUGACUUUCAAGGUCGGCCGUCAGCGGUUCACGGCGCAUAGGUACAUCCUUGCUGCUCGGUCUUCGGUCUUCAUGGCCGAGCUCUUUGGUCCCAUGAAAGAGAAGGAGGCCACCUGCAUACACAUCCAUGAAGUGGAGGCCAAGGUUUUUAAAGCCAUGCUUCACUUCAUUUACACCGACGAACUGCCUCAGAUUGACGACGGGGAAGCUAUGGUGAUGGCACAACAUUUGCUCGUAGCGGCUGACAGAUAUAACCUCGAUAGGCUCAAGUUAAUGUGCGAGGAGACCUUGUGCAACUACAUCAGCGAAGACACAGCAGCCACCACGUUGGCGUUGGCUGAGCAGCAUGGCUGCGAUGGGCUCAGGAGGGCAUGCUUCGCAUUCCUCGCUUCACUCGACAAUCUUAAGGCAGUCAUGGCGAGUGAUGGCUUUGCCCAUCUGAGGAGCAGCUGCCCCUCCAUCAUAGAGAAGCUGGUCACCAACCUUGCUCCCUGCUGA
rnacentral:rRNA from 1 species